AUGUUUUUGGAGGGUCCCAGGUGUUUUGGGGGGGGUCCCAGGUGUUUUGAGGUACUCAGGUGUUUUGGGGGGGACUCGGGUGUUUUUGGAGGGUCCCAGGUGCGUUUUUUGGGGGUCCCAGGGGUUUUGGGGUGUUCAGGUGCCUGGAGCAUCACCUCCCUCCCCCCCAGGCCCAGGUGCCCCCCGAGUCGUCGCUGGAGCCGAAGUCCCGAGUGUCGGGGGGGGUCUCACACCUGAGUCAUCCCCCCCCCAGCCCCCCCCAGGCUCUGCUGGAGGUGUCACCCCAAAACCAGGAGGGCGACGGGCAGCCCCCCCCGAGCCGCCGGCGCCGGCACAGCUCCCACUUCCCGCUCUGCUCCUUCUGCUGCAACUGCUGCCGGAACCGCGGCUGCGGCUUCUGCUGCCGCACCUGAGCCCCCCCGGGACCCCCCCCGGGACCCCCGGCACCGGGGCACCCCCCGACCCCCUAUUUAUUACCCCCCCCGCCCGUGGUGGCAAUAAA